rnacentral:sRNA from 1 species
GUUAAUGCUUGUGUAUGAGGUGAGAAUUGAAUCUCACAACACGAGAGCUAUUGAACAUUGUGAGAUGUGUGGAAUAUUGAGAACAGUGUCUAGCCAUAGAAAUCACUCAAUAAAGAUUAGCUGUCUGGACCCUGCUUCUGUCCCUUCUUUCCCUAUCAUGGCUGGCACCGUGUUCAUGCCUGUGGUAUUCCCUGUAUCCCUAUUCCUGGGAAGCAGCCCAGGAGGGGGAUUCCCUUGGCCUCUCCAGGGUCAGGUCACCAUUUCCUUCAUUAGUGUGAUGGGACCUUCAGAAGGGAAGCGCUUUCUGCGGCCAAACUGAACACCCUGCUUGGGAAGCCUGCCUCUGCUCCCUCCUUUGGGCAGCUGAUUAUUAGAACUUACAGCUUCAGGGAGGUGCUGCCCGGAGUUCCCAGGUAGCCUGUGGGCUCAGAAGGAUUCCUGAGACUGAGAGCAGUUUGAGUUGAAAUGUUGGCUUAAAUCUUGAUGAAUGAACAUUCUCGUUGGCCUGAGGGUUUUGUUGUUAAUGUUGUGGUCUUUCUAUUUUAUGUCUCAACUUAGUGGAACAGGCAAUGUUUAGAAGUCAGGUGUCAUGGAUUCUGGCCUCGGCUUUGCCGUGGACCAGCUGUGUCACUUUGAAUAAGUCAUGGAAUCAUAGGACUUUAGAGGAAACUUAGAGACUUGAGAGGAAACUUAAGAGAAGAGCUGACCAAACCCCUUAGGUGUAGAAAUAAGGCAAUGAGUGAGGGUAGAAAUGAGGUGAAGCAGAAAGGGUCUGCAUGAGGUCAAGGCCCAAGGUCAUCUGCACAUCCCUGCAAAACACUGCCUGCCUGUGCUUUGGUUUUUGAGACAGUUUAGAGUAGAUGGUCCUAAUUAUUCGUCCAUCCACAGAUUUCACGUUUCUGUUUCUACCCUGUACAUCAAUUGUAUUAUUUAAUUUUCUGUGUAGUAGAUUCUACCUGACCAAGUUCAAUAAAGAAAGUAAGUGUGUCUUUCGUCCUUAGAGUUUCAUUCCAGGGGUUUAUAUUACAAGUUGGCAGUGGAGCAGCUGCAGAGCCAUCCUGAGGCACAGGAAGCUCUGGGCCCUCCUCUCAACAUCCAUUAUCUCAAGCUCAUCGACAGGGAAAACUUCGUGGACAUUGCUGAUGCCAAGUUGAAGAUUCCUGUCUCUGGAUCCAAGUCAGAGGGCCUUCUCUACAUCCACUCAUCCAGAGGUGGCCCCUUUCAGAGGUGGCACCUUGACGAGGUCUUUUUAGAGCUCAAGGAUGGUCAGCAGAUUCCUGUGUUCAAGCUCAGUGGGGAAAACGGUGAUGAAGUGAAAAAGGAGUAGAGACGACCCAGAAGACCCAGCUUGCUUCUAGUCCAUCCUUCCCUCAUCUCUACCAUAUGGCCACUGGGGUGGUGGCCCAUCUGAGUGACAGACACUCCUGCAACCCAGUUUUCCAGCCACCAGUGGGAUGAUUGUAUGUGCCAGCACAUGGUAAUUUUGGUGUAAUUCUAACUUGGGCACAACGAAUGCUAUUUGUCAUUUAUAACCUGAAUCCGAAAGAAACUCCUAUUAUAAAUUUAAGAUAAUGUAUUUGAAAGUGCUUUGUAUAAAAAAGCACAUGAUAAAAGGAAUCAGAAUUAAUAAAAUGUUUGUUGAUCUUUGCUAGUUCUCAUUUCUUUCCUUUCUCUUCCUCUUCCUUUCCCCUGGAAUUUUCAGUCCUCAUUACAAAGCCUGAAGCUUAGUAGUACUGAAGGGAUUUUUUUCUAAAUUAUUGACCUGAGAAUGAUGAGGAAGACCACUUUGGUUUUUCACUCUACCUUGAAUUCAUGUUGUUAAGUAGCUUGUGGACAUUCUCCAUCACUUUGGAAUAUUUUGUUUGCUUUGCUUCUAUUUAUUUCUAUUUCAGACACCAACCAUCUGCCCAGUUGAAGAUUUGCAAAAUAAUUAUUUUUAUUCCAAACAUUUUGAAAGCUUAGAAAAUUUAUAUGUGUACAUAUACAUAUAAAGUUAACUUAGGAAAGUUAGUUUGAAGCUAACAGUGUCUGGCUGGGUGUGGUGGCCCAUGCCUGUAAUCCCAGCAAUUUGGGAGGCUGAGGCAGGCGGAUCACCUGAGGUCAGGAGU